CUUUGUGAAUCUUCUUCGCAGCUUUGGACUUUACAUUCCCACGAGGCUUCCAACACGAGGGGAGGCUUGUCUGGAUGCUGUAGCAACCAAUUACAACUCUUGGGACAUUGAGGCGGAGGUGGUAAGGCCUCAUAUUGCUGACCACGACGGUGCGGUGGUACUCACAGUCAAGACUACUAAGACAGACCCCCUGGAUUCGGUUAAGGAUCUCACCCAAACACACAACUUUAACUGCUGGACGAAGAGGGAAAGACCUAGAGGAUCUCCGUGGAGAAGCUACUGUCCUACUGGAAGAAGCGAAGAGCUGGUUUGCCGUCAAUAGGCUCAAGGUGAAUGAGGACAAGACACAGACCAUCCUGUGUACCCUCAAACCUGUUGUGGAAGAUGAGGCUGUAAAACUCCUGGGCUUCUGGCUUGACCCCAGGUUAAAUUGGAAGCAUCACAUAGACAAGGUAUGUG